rnacentral:rRNA from 1 species
UUCUGGUUGAUUACCGUCAAGUAAAGGACAGUUACUACUGUCUAUCCUUCUUCACCAACAACAGAGCUUUACGAUCCGAAAACCUUCUUCACUCACGCGGCGUUGCUCCAUCAGACUUGCGUCCAUUGUGGAAGAUUCCCUACUGCUGCCUCCCGUAGGAGU